UUCUAUAGUACAUGUUUUAUAUUAUGGAUUUUUAUCCUAUUUUAUUUUAAUCUAAUUAUUAGUGAAUAAUAUAGUGAGAAAUAUCAAAAGACAUAGGAAUUUAUGUUGAAAAUGUAUUUAACUAAGUGGAGAACUUAAAUAAUGUUUGCAACCUUUGAUUUCUAUGACCAUUCAUCCCUUCAUUAUCCUAUUCACGCCAUUACUAGUGGAAGAAUUAAAGAAUUUAACUCUCAUACAUCAAUCCUCUUGAUUAUCCCUAGUUCCAUGUGUUCUUUCAUCUCCUCAUCAAGCUAUAUAUAUUGCCAUACGAUCAAUAUUGAGCUACACCUUAAUCUUUAGUUACCUUGCAAAUAAGAAAUAUCACAUAUCUCUCUCUGAUGUCUCUCAUAGCUGUCAAACACAUUUAUGAAGCAUGGAAUGGAAGUAUUAAAAAUUUCUAUUUGGAGGAAGGUUGAUAUCUGGCUUUUCAGCUUGAUGCUGGUCAUAGCUCCGAUUGCUAUCCUUUGUGUUUUAUUUGCAACUAGGCAUUUUCGGUCAUAGCUCCGAUGGUCAUAUAGCGUCGAAAUGAACUUUGGAGUGAAAUAUAUCUCGUGUACCUUGUAGCUGCGAAUUUAUGCUUAGAGUAUUUCGCUUGGAACGAAAUCGGCCAAGGUACCAAAGGUGAAAUAUGAAGUGAUGUGUUCCUUGUACGUGCGCGGGGCUAAACAAAUCUGGGUUUUAUACAUUUGUAAUUUAAAUGAAAUAUUCUUUUUAUUGUACAAAGAUUAUUUAUAAGCUUAAGUAAUUAUUAUUAUUAUUGCAGAAAAAAAAAUAGUCACACAUUUUUAAGAAACGAA